ensembl:lncRNA
GUAUUAACCCCUGCAUCAUCAUCAUCAUCCCAACAAAGUGACCCCAGCUGUGUUCUCUCUAUAUUCAAACUCUGUGAUGUUAUGGAGCUUAUCUACACUGUAAAAGCCACAAAAUGUCCUGGUAAUUUUCUGUUUUUUUACAGAAAUUGACUGACUUUUCCAUAAAUGAUGAUAAAAUAAAUUUCUUAAGUAUUUACAGAAUACUCUCUGUAGGAUUUAGACAUUUCCUUCAGCUAUAAAAGGGAAAAUUCUCUUUAUUCAGUGCAUUUUCUGUAUUGUUAACUAAUAUUUUCCAUUAAUAGAAAAAGUUCUGUUUAUAUUACCCUUUACAGGCACUUCUUUUUACUGUAACUCAUUAAAUGUAAAUUUCUAUACAAUUCCAACCUAAUACACCAUUUGCUCAAACAUUCAUAAAUUAAAACUUUAUAAAUUAAUCUGUGCUUAGUACACAACAACAUUGGUACAGUUACUGUUAAAUAUUCUUUUAUUCUCCUCAACUCAGAAACUAUCCUAAAAUAUAGUGACCGUCAAGACAGGCUGUGUGGCAGGCAGGAAUGGUGGACCCAAAACGCAGGACUCUCAGAGACGGGACUUGGACUCAAAACGCAGCUUUUAUUGCUGGAAAAACUCUUCAUGAAAAUAAACACUUACAAAAACCUCAAAGCUGAAACUAAGACGAGACAAACAAACAGCAAGAAGAGGGUACCAAACAUUAACGACACGACAGAUAAUGUGAACACACUGAGCAGAUUAGAGGCUGCAGAGGGACGUAACACCUCCCUUAAAAGGGUUCCUCUAGGACCCCUAAAUUUAUUAAAAGCCCCUCUAAAGCCUUCAGGUCCUUGACCCACAAACCUGGAAUAAAAGUAAAAGCUAACAGAAGCACAGUGUUCACAUUAACACAAAACCAAAAGUAGCAACAAAUAAUCACAACCAAGUGAUCUGUUGUCUCCACCACACAAACGGUCACAUACAAGUGGCCUUAUACCACAACAAGUUACUUUAAUCCACAAGGUUCAGUAAAGCAAGCACAAUAGUGACCAACCACAAAAUGUAGAGCUAUGGCCACACAAUGAUCACAUCAAGGGUGGCUCAGCACCCCACAGUGUUAUUGCCAUCACCUGGCCAACAACACUCACAAGUGAUCCAACAAAAGUAGCCAUAUUCCCCACAACACUAAAGGUCACAGCACAAAACACUCACCUCAUGAGGAUCUCAUUAGCAUCCAUCAACACUGACAUAUUAGAGGCACACACGGUGUACACACUAUGCCAACUUAAAAACGACCUACCUGCCUCAGCUACAAGACCAUUAUUAAUGAAUGGUCUCAAACCUCCUGCCAAGUUUGGUGCCACUGAUUCACUUUGAGCAACUCCCAUCCUAAAACGCUAAAAACAAAACUUGACCCGUCUAGUCUUCAGUGGUGUACCGGGCUCGAGGCAACUUUGAACGCGAACUCGAGAGCAGGCAGCAGACCAGAGAUAUAGUCUCCUACCAAACUCUGAAGCGUGCCCCCACCCAGGAUAACCACCAAACAUAAAAUUAAAACAAAGCAAAACAAUAAACAAGUGCUUCGAUGGAAGGGCAGCACAGCCACCCAGCUGAAACACACUAAAGAGUUUGCUCAAUUACAGUGAACACCAUCACUCACCCACUUAAAAGCAAUACAAAAAACUGAUAUUCAGUCUCCACUAAAAUGUCCAAAGAUCCCGGACGAGCUCCCACUUAUGUUACGACCCGGCUCAAAAGCCACAACAUAGAAAAGUAGAAGAAUACCAGAGUGUUAGUGAGAAGAGGGUUUAUCUUAAAAUGGAAUACCAGGUUGGCUAAAAUGGCUGGUGCCACC